CGCCUGCAUUUCAAACCGUAACAAGUGCAACUUAAAAUUCGGUCAGUAGAGCUCUUCCCAAACAUAAAGCCAAGGUUUUGAGCUUCUUAUACUGUAUUAAAUUCAUACGAAUUAUAAUAUACGACAAGUCUUCUUUACUAUCAUUUAUUUCUAAUUUUUUUUAUUUUUUUUUCUGUGUUGGUGUUGUGUACUCAGGUGAAUAAUAUGUUUGCGAUGUUACUCUGAGUGCAUAUCCACACCGGGCGAGCUUGAAAAAUAUGCCCGGCCACGGUGGGAUUCGAACCUACGACCUUUGGAAUACUACCCCAAUGCUCUUCCAACUGAGCUACGCGGUCAGGACGGUUCGAGUAAGUGAUAUUUCGGAACAGUAUCUAGUUCCUUCAAUACCAAUGUGUUCUAGUAAUAUGAUUUUUUUUUUUUCUGUGUUGGUGUUGUGUACUCAGG